ensembl:lncRNA
CGUUCACAGAUCGUAGUGACGGGUGAUGAUGCGCCGCACCUCCACCGGGGAGCAUCUUGACUGAAUGUAGCAAAGCUCGGUCGUGGACAUGAGCUCAGUGGUGCUUUAGAGGGAAAAGGCCCACCGAUGGCAGAGCCGAGCUCGCUCAUGCGUCGUUAUUUGAAAACGCAGGAAAUCUCCAUGUAAAUCUGGCCCCUCGGAGCAUCUCCGUCCCUGUUUGUCUUGACAGCGCCCUCCUUAAGCAGGCCAUGUAUCCAUAUUUGAAGGCGCCACCGGCUGCGUAGGUAAAGAUGGGAAUUUGUAGUGACAAGGGGAGGGCAUCAGCACAACAGAGGUACUUAAGGAAGGAGACAACCUCUUCCACUGAAGGCAAAUGAGACUUGUCAUCCGGCAGUUGGUGCAGUAAUUAUAAAGGGUGCGUUGAAUUUCCCAGGGAUUCCAGGAGAAUGGCAUAAUGGAGAAAACACUAAGAAUUUUAUAAGCCAUGCUGAGGGGGAAAUAAGACGGAAAAAUCCAACAUCCUUUUAAAGUCAGCUUUUACCAAAGGAACGUUGAAGGUGUCCGUGCAGCCGGCGUCUGGCUGCACAGCGAUGCAUGACGCUGGGUUCAUGCUUUCAUACUGCAGAGGUUUUGUUUUGACCAGAAAUGACCUCAACACGCAGGUGGAAAGACGGCGUGCUGGUUAAAAUGCUCCCGUCGGACGCGUGGGAGUGCAGAUGUUUCCCCGUGACAGUGUGAAAGGAAGAGUGUUUUCAUCGUGGUGUUGAUUGUAUAAUUUUCUAAUCAAGACAGCAGUCAUGUCAAGUGCAUUGAUCCUUUCUAAUUAAAACCCUGUUAUUAAUAUACAAUAUUUGACGUUGGAUUUAGCUUUAAACCUCCAGUGUUUAAAACCUGCAGUCGAGCCUGCGUCAACGACCUGAUGGAUUUGAAUAACUCCUCGAUGCCGUUUCACAGGCUUUUCCACCGUCCAAUUCAUCGGUAAAGAACUGGAUAUUUAAACAGGUUUAACAUCAUCUUUUAUCAGCAGUGUCAAAUAACUGAAUACAUGUAAAUGCUUUGAAGCACCCACGUAGUCGGUAUCCUGCAGCUGUACCGGUGCAUCUCUACCUCCUCCUCUGAACAUCUCCCCAGGCCAACACUGUGAACCUUAUUAGGAGCUGGUUAAAUAUGAAUUAAAGCUAAGCUAGCUGUUUACCUAGCGCUGAAAUAGACCUCCAGCCUUUUCGCGGGGGGUUUAUUUUUUUUUCCAUAGAUCGAUGUGUACUUGUGUUUGUUUCCUCUCCAGAAGCCUUCAUGUGUAUUUGAGUCUGACAGUUACAUCUGCUCGGGGAUGCUCCGCCUCCGGCAGCAUCAGUGAAACCGCCGCCGACUUCGCCUCGCAUCCCAUCGGCCACGCGCAUUGAAUUGACAGCAGCAUAUUCUGAAAUGUGGGAUAGGCCUCCAGCCCGCAGAUACUCGAGGAGAACAGGAGUGACCUUUGACCCGGGAUCUGUGUGCAGCCACCGUCCUCCUCCGAGCGGCGAGCCCUCAGCCUGUGUGGAGGAACGCAGAGCCCCCAGUCGAGUGUCCUUUCCACCUCCCGCAUGUCCAUUAAAGCCACAACAAAGGUUCUGUGCAGCUCGGCGGCAUAUCGACUCGCCCAGGUGUCAGUGGGAGGAUCAGGCUGGUUCCGGGGGC